GACGAACGCUGGCGGCGUGCUUAACACAUGCAAGUCGAACGAAGAGCGAUGGAAGCUUGCUUCUAUCACUCUUAGUGGCGAACGGGUGAGUAACGCGUAAUCAACCUGCCCUUCAGAGGGGGACAACAGUUGGAAACGACUGCUAAUACCGCAUACGAUCUAAUCUCGGCAUCGAGGAUAGAUGAAAGGUGGCCUCUACAUGUAAGCUAUCACUGAAGGAGGGGAUUGCGUCUGAUUAGCUAGUUGGAGGGGUAACGGCCCACCAAGGCGAUGAUCAGUAGCCGGUCUGAGAGGAUGAACGGCCACAUUGGGACUGAGACACGGCCCAGACUCCUACGGGAGGCAGCAGUGGGGAAUCUUCCGCAAUGGACGAAAGUCUGACGGAGCAACGCCGCGUGAGGGAUGACGGCCGUCGGGUUGUAAAGCUCUGUUAAUCGGGACGAAAGGCCUUCUUGCGAAUAGUGAGAAGGAUUGACGGUACCGGAAUAGAAAGCCACGGCUAACUACGUG
rnacentral:rRNA from 1 species